GAGGGUGUAGCUCAGUGGUAGAACACAUGCUUAGCAUGCACGAGGCCCUGGGUUCAAUCCCCAGUUCCUCCA
rnacentral:tRNA from 1 species